rnacentral:rRNA from 1 species
CUGGCGGCAGGCCUAACNCAUGCAAGUCGAGCGGAUGAGUGGAGCUUGCUCCAUGAUUCAGCGGCGGACGGGUGAGUAAUGCCUAGGAAUCUGCCUGGUAGUGGGGGACAACGUUUCGAAAGGAACGCUAAUACCGCAUACGUCCUACGGGAGAAAGCAGGGGGACCUUCGGGCCUUGCGCUAUCAGAUGAGCCUAGGUCGGAUUAGCUAGUAGGUGAGGUAAUGGCUCACCUAGGCGACGAUCCGUAACUGGUCUGAGAGGAUGAUCAGUCACACUGGAACUGAGACACGGUCCAGACUCCUACGGGAGGCAGCAGUGGGGAAUAUUGGACAAUGGGCGAAAGCCUGAUCCAGCCAUGCCGCGUGUGUGAAGAAGGUCUUCGGAUUGUAAAGCACUUUAAGUUGGGAGGAAGGGCAGUAAGUUAAUACCUUGCUGUUUUGACGUUACCAACAGAAUAAGCACCGGCUAACUUCGUG